CAGGCUGAGGCUUGAAGAACCCCUGAAUUCCUGCAUCUAGAAGGAUGCAGGUGUCUCUUGUCUAGGACAUUUCAAGGAAAUGUCUUCUCCCUAUUUCCCUGCUCCCGACCAGUUUAUACAGAUUACAGGGAAUCCGUAGGAUCUGGAGGCUGAGAGAAAGGUGCAAAAAGGUAGAGUGACAAAAAUGGACUUUUAAAAACUGUUCCAUCAGGUAUUCUUUGGUUACAAGUAAAAGAAAGGUAUCCUAACCCAACUUAAAAGGGGAUGAUGAGCCAGGCGCAGUGAUGCAUGCCUGUAAUCCCAACACUUUGAGAGGCCAAGGAGGGUGGAUCACUUGAGUCCAGGAGUUGGAGACCAGCCCUGGCAACAUAGCGAGACCCCAACUCCAAAAAUAAUUAAAAAUUAGUCAAGCAUCGUGGCACAUGCCUGUAGCCCCAGCUACUCCGGAGGCUGCGGUAGGAGGAUUAAUUGAGCCUGGGAGGUUGAGGUUGCACUGAGCCAUGCUUACACCACUGCACUCCAGCCUGGGCAACAGAGCAAGACCUUGUCUCAAAAAAUAAAUAAAAAUUAAUUAAUUAAAAGGGGAUGAUCAGAAAUCCAGAGGGGAAGAUCACAGAUCCCAAGUAGAGGUCACAGAUGUCAAAGUUGUCAGACCACUACUCUCUCCACCUUUCUCUGGGAUUGUACAGUUGCUGCAUCUGUUGACACAUCCAGGCUAUGGCUUAUCUCUGAUGACUGGAUUUCCUCAUUUAUGAGCAUGCAUACAUCAAAAAAAAUGGCUGCCACUCCUCACACUACCUGACUCUCCAGCUCUGGUGUCCUCCACUGAGCUAGUUACUCAAAGUCGAAGUCUCUGGGUUCAAAUUAGCAAGCAAAAGAAUUGGAUUGGUGCUCGUAUAAAUGCACAUAUACUAAAAUUGGACCAAUACAGAGAAGAUAAGCAUAGUCACUACGCAAGGAUGACACCCAGAUUUGUGAGUCAUCCCAUGUUAAGGGGGGGAAAAGCAUCUGAAUGGAUUAGGUGUUCUCUGAUCCCAUCAGCUGUGGCUAGGGAGACAAGGUCUAAUGGUAAGUAGCAUAGCUGCCCCUGCCAAGGACUCUGUGGCAGGGAAGAUUUUCUGAGAUGGGGAAGUGGGUAGGAAGAAGACAAUUAGUAUCUCAAAUUCCUAGACACCAAAUAGGCUGAAAUGGACUUUCUAAGUUGGACUUUUUCAGUCUCUAUCUCUCAAGUUGGAGGUUCAGGCUCUGGAGGGAAGAAGGGUCAGAUCAUAUCAGCUAAUUUUCCUUAUUCCAAAAAAGGCAGGAUUUGUGUGUGGCACAUAUAGUUUGGUUUAUUAAAAAUUUGAGUGGUCUGGCCAGGUA
rnacentral:lncRNA from 10 species